UAACCUGCCUGGUAGCGGGGGAUAACUAUUGGAAACGAUAGCUAAUACCGCAUAAGAGUAGAUGUUGCAUGACAUUUGCUUAAAAGAUGCAAUUGCAUCACUACCAGAUGGACCUGCGUUGUAUUAGCUAGUUGGUGGGGUAACGGCUCACCAAGGCAACGAUACAUAGCCGACCUGAGAGGGUGAUCGGCCACACUGGGACUGAGACACGGCCCAG
rnacentral:rRNA from 1 species